CGCCGCGUGAGUGACGAAGGUUUUCGGAUCGUAAAACUCUGUUGUGAGGGAAGAACAAGUGCCACGUAACUACUGGCACCUUGACGGUACCUCACCAGAAAGCCACGGCUAACUACGUGCCAGCAGCCGCGGUAAUACGUAGGUGGCAAGCGUUGUCCGGAAUUAUUGGGCGUAAAGCGCGCGCAGGCGGUCCUUUAAGUCUGAUGUGAAAGCCCACGGCUCAACCGUGGAGGGUCAUUGGAAACUGGAGGACUUGAGUGCAGAAGAGGAAAGUGGAAUUCCACGUGUAGCGGUGAAAUGCGUAGAGAUGUGGAGGAACACCAGUGGCGAAGGCGACUUUCUGGUCUGUAACUGACGCUGAGGCGCGAAAGCGUGGGGAGCAAACAGGAUUAGAUACCCUGGUAGUCCACGCCGUAAACGAUGAGUGCUAAGUGUUAGGGGGUUUCCGCCCCUUAGUGCUGCAGCUAACGCAUUAAGCACUCCGCCUGGGGAGUACGGCCGCAAGGCUGAAACUCAAAGGAAUUGACGG
rnacentral:rRNA from 1 species